rnacentral:rRNA from 1 species
GUUAUAGGGUCAAGCAAUGAAGCGCACACGGUGGAUGCCUAGGCAGCCAGAGGCGACGAAAGACGUGGUAGCCUGCGAUAAGGUUCGGUGAGGUGGCAACAACCUGUGACCCGGACAUCUCUGAAUGGGGAAACCCACUCAUCAUAAGAUGAGUAUCAUGCACUGAAUA